GAUGAACGCUGGCGGCGUGCCUAAUACAUGCAAGUCGAGCGAACAGACGAGGAGCUUGCUCCUCUGACGUUAGCGGCGGACGGGUGAGUAACACGUGGAUAACCUACCUAUAAGACUGGGAUAACUUCGGGAAACCGGAGCUAAUACCGGAUAACAUGUUGAACCGCAUGGUUCAACAGUGAAAGACGGUUUUGCUGUCACUUAUAGAUGGAUCCGCGCCGCAUUAGCUAGUUGGUAAGGUAACGGUUUACCAAGGCAACGAUGCGUAGCCGACCUGAGAGGGUGAUCGGCCACACUGGAACUGAGACACGGUCCAGACUCCUACGGGAGGCAGCAGUAGGGAAUCUUCCGCAAUGGGCGAAAGCCUGACGGAGCAACGCCGCGUGAGUGAAGAAGGUCUUCGGAUCGUAAAACUCUGUUAUUAGGGAAGAACAAAUGUGUAAGUAACUAUGCACGUCUUGACGGUACCUAAUCAGAAAGCCACGGCUAACUACGUG
rnacentral:rRNA from 1 species